GGAUCAAAUGAUGAGAAAAAAACUGCAACAAAAUGACAGUGAGAUAUAUAUUCAGUUGUGAUUACUUUCGUAUUUAAGUCUCUGAUAAUC
rfam:Daucus carota subsp. sativus cultivar DH1 chromosome 4, whole genome shotgun sequence.